rnacentral:rRNA from 1 species
UACGUAGGGGGCAAGCGUUAUCCGGAAUUAUUGGGCGUAAAGAGUACGUAGGUGGUUAUAUAAGCGCGAGGUGAAAGGCCGAGGCUUAACUUCGGUUAGCCUUUCGAACUGUAUGACUUGAGUGCAGGAGAGGAAAGUGGAAUUCCUAGUGUAGCGGUGAAAUGCGUAGAUAUUAGGAGGAACACCAGUGGCGAAGGCGACUUUCUGGACUGUAACUGACACUGAGGUACGAAAGCGUGGGGAGCAAACAGG